rnacentral:rRNA from 1 species
UAGCUUCAGCGAUGGAUCGGUCGAUUCGCGUAUCGAUGAAAAACGCAGCUAGCUGUGUUAUUUACCACGAAUUGCAGACGCUUAGAGUGGUAUACUGUAUACAGUCUUUGUAUUAAUCGAGAUGAAAGUGGAUCUUUCUUGCUAAGAGGAA